AAUGGGUUCCGCCUCUUUUUGCCUUACGUUUUUCUUUUUUUGUCUUUUCUGUUGUUUAUACUUUGCCACAGUUUCAAUGUUUCUUUGUGUGUGUAUCCAUGGUUGGCCGCUUGCUUGAUUGUGGUUUCUAAUUCUUCUUGUUUGCUUUGCCAGGUAGUGCAGUGGGUUUGUGUUCUAUUUGGGAGGGCCCUAAAUGCGGCCAUUUUUGCGUGCCAUGGUUCUUUUGAGUUUCUAUGGAUGGAGGGAGGGACGUGUGUUUCUUUCCGGAGGGCUUUGGUCUGGUAUUCUCCUCUCACCAAAGGAUCCUAGAAUGUUUGCAUUCAUAAAAACCCACAAAACCCCGAUUACUAUAAGACCGGUUGUUGAAAGGAGAGACGCCUCGACAUUUCUAGUGGAGAAAGCUAUAGCCAAAUGGGCAAAGGAAAAAAUGAAAGGGUACAAAUGGUCAAUAA
rnacentral:lncRNA from 1 species